rnacentral:rRNA from 1 species
AUUGAACGCUGGCGGCAGGCCUAACACAUGCAAGUCGAACGAGUGGCGGACGGGUGAGUAAUGUCUGGGAAACUGCCCGAUGGAGGGGGAUAACUACUGGAAACGGUAGCUAAUACCGCAUACCAUCGGAUGUGCCCAGAUGGGAUUAGCUAGUAGGUGGGGUAACGGCUCACCUAGGCGACGAUCCCUAGCUGGUCUGAGAGGAUGACCAGCCACACGGGAACUGAGACACGGUCCAUACUCCUACGUGAGGCAGCAGUGGGGAAUAUUGCACAAUGGGCGCAAGCCUGAUGCAGCCAUGCCGCGUGUAUGAAGAAGGCCUUCGGGUUGUAAAGUACUUUCAGCGAGGAGGCGUUACCCUCAGAAGAAGCACCGGCUAACUCCGUGCCAGCAGCCGCGGUAAUAC